rnacentral:misc_RNA from 1 species
GAUGAAGAACGUAGUGAAAUGCGAUAAGUAAUGUGAAUUGCAGAAUUCAGUGAAUCAUCGAAUCUUUGAACGCACAUUGCGCCCGCCAGUAUUCUGGCGGGCAUGCCUGUUCGAGCGUCAUUUCAACCCUCAGGCCCCCAGUGCCUGGUGUUGGGGAUCGGCAGCAGGGCGUCAAGCCCGCCGGCCCCGAAAUCUAGUGGCGGUCUCGCUGUAGUCCUCCUCUGCGUAGUAGCACAACCUCGCAGUUGGAACGCGGCGGUGGCCAUGCCGUUAAACCCCCCACUUCUGAAAGUUGACCUCGGAUCAGGUAGGAAUACCCGCUGAACUUAAGCAUAUCAAUAAGCGGAGGA